rnacentral:tRNA from 1 species
GCAGGUGUGGCGGAAUUGGCAGACGCGCUACCUUGAGGGGGUAGUGGACUUAUGUUCGUAUGGGUUCAAGUCCCAUCAUCUGCACCA